rnacentral:rRNA from 1 species
AGGAUGAACGCUGGCGGCGUGCCUAAAACAUGCAAGUCAUACGGGCUACCUUCGGGUAGCCAGUGGCAAACGGGUGAGUAACACGUGGGAACACGCCUUCGAGUGGGGAAUAACGCUGAGAAAUCAGUGCUAAUACCGCAUAUGGUCUAACGACUAAAGCAGCAAUGCGCUCGGAGAGUGGCCCGCGACCGAUUAGCUAGUUGGUGGGGUAAUGGCCUACCAAGGCGGUGAUCGGUAGCUGGUCUGAGAGGAUGGUCAGCCACACUGGGACUGCGAACGGCCCAGACUCCUACGGGAGGCAGCAGUUAGGAAUUUUCGGCAAUGGACGAAAGUCUGACCGAGCGACGCCGCGUGGAGGAUGAAGCCUUUCGGGGUGUAAACUCCUUUCUGCGGGAAGAUAAUGACGGUACCGCAGGAAUAAGCACCGGCUAACUACGCGCCAGCAGCCGC